ensembl:misc_RNA Metazoa_SRP Metazoan signal recognition particle RNA
GCCAGGCAUGGUGGUGCGUGACUGUAGUCCCAGCUACUCAGGAGGCUGAGAUGGGAGGAUCGCUUGAGCCCAGGAGAUCAAGGCUACAGUGAGCUGAGAUUGCACCACUGCACUCCAGCCUGGGCAACAGAGCAAGACCCCAUCUCUG